UUCCUUUUUUCUCCUCCUCUCGUUCCAUCAUUCCUUCCUUUACAGAUCAUUGUUCUUGCGGUAUUUUCUAAAUCAUCAGCGAUAAUCUUUUGGAAUCCUCUUCUACAGCAAGACGUCGUUGUCCUCAUCAUUUCUAGUUUAUCGUUGAUAUUCUCUCAAGUAAUAUUUAAUUAAGGCUUGGACAUUUGAAGUCAUUCCUUAUUUGACUCAUCAAGUAAUUACAGAAGAACAGAUCUCAUCUCCAAGGAUAUUUAGAUGGUUGAGAUCAAAAAUAAAAACUACCAAAGAUGGGCAUAUUCCAAAUCGUUUAACCCUCCUCGUGAUGUACUAAGUUAUUAUUAGUAUAUAACACACUUAUAUUGUAAGAAAUAACUUUUAUGUUGCUACAGAUGCCCAUAUGUGUUAGGUAUCACAUAUCUAUAGCAAUAUAUGACACAUAUGUGACAACAUAUCACCCAUUUGUAGUGACAUAUGGCACAAAUAUUACUACAGAUGCUCAUAUAUGUCAACCUAUCACACAUCUGUAACAACAUAUGAUGCAUAUGUGACAAUAUAUCACCCAUCUGUAGCGACAUAUGACACAUCUGUGGGAAUAUAUCACUCAUUUGUAGCAACAAAUGACAAAUCUGUAGCAAUAUAUAAUCCAAAUAUUCUUAUGGAUGACUCAUUUUUAUAA